CCUACGGGUGGCUGCAGUGGGGAAUAUUGGGCAAUGGGCGCAAGCCUGACCCAGCAACGCCGCGUGACGGAAGAAGGCUUUCGGGUUGUAAACUUCUUUUCUCAGGGACGAAGCAAGUGACGGUACCUGAGGAAUAAGCCACGGCUAACUACGUGCCAGCAGCCGCGGUAAUACGUAGGUGGCAAGCGUUAUCCGGAUUUACUGGGUGUAAAGGGCGUGUAGGCGGGGACGCAAGUCAGAUGUGAAAACCACGGGCUCAACCUGUGGCCUGCAUUUGAUACUGUGUUUCUUGAGUACUGGAGAGGCGGACGGAAUUCCGAGUGUAGCGGUGAAAUGCGUAGAGAUGAGGAGGAACACCAGUGGCGAAGGCGGGCUGCUGGACAGCAACUGACGCUGAGGCGCGAAAGCGUGGGGAGCAAACAGGAUUAGAUACCCUAGUAGUC
rnacentral:rRNA from 1 species